rnacentral:rRNA from 1 species
GCCUACGGGAUGCAGCAGUGGGGAAUAUUGCACAAUGGGGGAAACCCUGAUGCAGCGACGCCGCGUGAGUGAAGAAGUAAUUCGUUAUGUAAAGCUCUAUCAGCAGGGGAGAAACAGACGGUACCUGAGUAAGAAGCCCCGGCUAACUACGUGCCAGCAGCCGCGGUAAUACGUAGGGGGGCAAGCGUUAUCCGGAUUUACUGGGUGUAAAGGGAGCGUAGGCGGCAGGGCAAGCCUGAUGUGAAAGCCCGGGGCUCAACCCCGGGACGGCAUUGGGAACUGCCCCGCUCG